rnacentral:rRNA from 1 species
CCUACGGGUGGCAGCAGUGGGGGAUAUUGGACAAUGGGGGGAACCCUGAUCCAGCGACGCCGCGUGAGUGAAGAAGUAUUUCGGUAUGUAAAGCUCUGUCAGCAGGGAAGAAAGCAAUGACGGUACCUGACCAAGAAGCCUCGGCUAACUACGUGCCAGCAGCCACGGUAAUACGUGGGGGGCAAGCGUUCUCCGGAUUUACUGUGUGUAAAGGGCGCGUAGGCGGCGGUGCAAGUCUGGAGUGGAAUGCGGGGGCCCAACCCCCGGACUGCUCUGGAACCUGGGUGGCUGGAGUGCAGGGGAGGUAAGCGGAAUGCCUAGUGUAGCGGUGAAAUGCAUAGAUAUUAGGAGGAACACCAAUGGCGAAGGCAGCUUACUGGGCCGUAACUGACGUUGAGGCUCGAAAGCGUGGGGAGCGAACAGGAUUAGAUACCCUGGUAGUC